rnacentral:rRNA from 1 species
GGUUGCGAUCAUACCAGCACUAAUGCACCGGAUCCCAUCUGAAUUCCGCAGUUAAGCGUGCUUGGGCGAGAGUAGUACUAGGAUGGGUGACCCUCUGGGAAGUCCUCGUGUUACACCCUC